AGGACGAACGCUGGCGGCGCGCUUAACACAUGCAAGUCGAGCGAGAACUUGUCCUUCGGGACAGGGGACGAGCGGCGAACGGGUGAGUAACACGUGGGUAAUCAACCCCUGGCUCCGGGAUAGCCCGAGGAAACUCGGAUUAAUACCGGAUGGCCCAACAGCUCUUCGGGGCGGUUGGAAAGGUAGCUUCGGCUCCGGCCAAGGACGAGCCCGCGGCGGAUUAGCUUGUUGGUGGGGUAACGGCCUACCAAGGCGACGAUCCGUA
rnacentral:rRNA from 1 species